GCCGGGAUUAUGAAAAGAAUAAAGUCUGCAAGGAAUUCUCCCAUCUGGGAAAGGAGGACUUCACAUCUCUGUCACUAGUCCUGUACAGUAGAAAAUUUCCCAGUGGCACGUUUGAACAGGUCAGCCAACUUGUGAAGGAAGUUGUCUCCUUGACCGAAGCCUGCUGUGCGGAAGGGGCUGACCCUGACUGCUAUGACACCAGGGCACUGCUGAGUGCUGCACGAAAGAGGGCCUGGAACGAAAGCUCUGCAUGGCUGCUCUGAAACACCAGCCACAGGAAUUCCCUACCUACGUGGAACCCACAAAUGAUGAAAUCUGUGAGGCGUUCAGGAAAGAUCCAAAGGAAUAUGCUAAUCAAUUUAUGUGGGAAUAUUCCACUAAUUAUGGACAAGCUCCUCUGUCACUUUUAGUCAGUUACACCAAGAGUUAUCUUUCUAUGGUAGGGUCCUGCUGUACCUCUGCAAGCCCAACUGUAUGCUUUUUGAAAGAGAGACUCCAGCUUAAACAUUUAUCACUUCUCACCACUCUGUCAAAUAGAGUCUGCUCACAAUAUGCUGCUUAUGGGGAGAAGAAAUCAAGGCUCAGCAAUCUCAUAAAGUUAGCCCAAAAAGUGCCUACUGCUGAUCUGGAGGAUGUUUUGCCACUAGCUGAAGAUAUUACUAACAUCCUCUCCAAAUGCUGUGAGUCUGCCUCUGAAGAUUGCAUGGCCAAAGAGCUGCCUGAACACACAGUAAAACUCUGUGACAAUUUAUCUACAAAGAAUUCUAAGUUUCAAGACUGUUGUCAAGAAAAAACAGCCAUGGACGUUUUUGUGUGCACUUACUUCAUGCCAGCUGCCCAACUCCCCGAGCUUCCAGAUGUAGAGUUGCCCACAAACAAAGAUGUGUGUGAUCCAGGAAACACCAAAGUCAUGGAUAAGUAUACGUUUGAACUAAGCAGAAGGACUCAUCUUCCGGAAGUAUUCCUCAGUAAAGUACUUGAGCCAACCCUAAAAAGCCUUGGUGAAUGCUGUGAUGUUGAAGACUCAACUACCUGUUUUAAUGCUAAGGGCCCUCUACUAAAGAAGGAACUAUCUUCUUUCAUUGACAAGGGACAAGAACUAUGUGCAGAUUAUUCAGAAAAUACAUUUACUGAGUACAAGAAAAAACUGGCAGAGCGACUAAAAGCAAAAUUGCCUGAUGCCACACCCACGGAACUGGCAAAGCUGGUUAACAAGCGCUCAGACUUUGCCUCCAACUGCUGUUCCAUAAACUCACCUCCUCUUUACUGUGAUUCAGAGAUUGAUGCUGAAUUGAAGAAUAUCCUGUAGUCCUGAAGCAUGUUUAUUAACUUUGACCAGAGUUGGAGCCACCCAGGGGAAUGAUCUCUGAUGACCUAACCUAAGCAAAACCACUGAGCUUCUGGGAAGACAACUAGGAUACUUUCUACUUUUUCUAGCUAUAAUAUCUUCAUACAAUGACAAGUAU
rnacentral:sRNA from 1 species